AUUGGACGUGGUACUUGGGAGCCAUGGCGAACGUUAGGAAGAAUGAUUGUCAACAGACCAGAUACAGACUGUAGGUUCAGCCACCUCACUACGACUGACCCGAAUUUGUUCCUUUUCAUGGCUGUGAAACGCAAAAUUCUGGAGUCGUCCCUCCCUCAGUCUACAGAGACUCUGAGAGCAGGCCUGACAAUCUCCAGGUGAUCCUAAUGCAUGCCCAAGUUUGAGACCUACUGUCUAACAUAUUUAACUAUUCCCCUGUGGUUGGACACUCAAGGUUUUCCCGUUUCUUCUUAUUAAAGCUUGUGUUACA
ensembl:lncRNA